rnacentral:lncRNA from 1 species
UUGCUCAGUUCUACAACUAAUACUCUCUUUAUUUUAAAGUAUAAAAAGUUUUUUUUACAAAACAAAAAAUAAAAAGAUUUGAAUUUUUUAGAUACAUAACUUUUGUUAUGCACUUAGAUAUGUACUAUAUCUCUAUAUAUAGUUAAAAUAACGUAUAAAAAACAAAAAUGUCUAAAAAAUAACGCUGAUAAGUUCAAAAGAGUAAUUAAGUGCACGCUUAUACAUACAUUCAAAAAAAAAACCUAUAAAAAGAUGCCAAGUACUCCCUCUGUCCCUUUUUAAUUGUCGUCGUUGGUGUGCGUGCCACAAGUUUGAUUUGAUUUGUAGAAAAUACGUGCAACAUUUGUAUCCCCAAAUAAAUUAGUCAAAAACUAGAUUCAAAGAUCUUUCUAAUGAUACUAAUUAUGUAUUACAAAUAUUAAUAUUUUUUAAUAUAUAAUUGCUAGCAGUUGUUUUUCGGGAAGCGAAAGCGACAAUUAAAAAUGGACGGAAGGAGUAUGCCUGAAUCAAAGGAGGAGGAGGCAACGAAGCCAUCUCACAACCUAUAGGUCGUGAAGCCACGCUUUUAGACUUUUAGCAGCACUGUGCGAGGCAUCGGAGGC